rnacentral:misc_RNA from 1 species
AUUGGGAUAUGUCCUUCUUGAUCCCUUUUGAUGACUGUGCAGCAAGUUCCAUCAACAAAGCAGCAAACAAAAGCAGAAAUGGUCCCAACCAAGCCAUUCUUGUGACAAAUAAUGACCCAAAAAGCUGGCCAAGUGUAGCACCAGCCCCAAUGAACCCAAACAAUCUUGAACCUGACUCACUGUCCAUCACAUCAAUUACUCUAGCCCAAGUUGAAGAGAUGGUAAUAAGAUUAAGC